AGAGGGGACUUGUAGGUUCGACGCAACUCGGCCAGGAAGCCCUGAUAGUUGUUGCGCAAGGGGCUGUCAGGCUGCAUGUGGGGGAUGGCCCACUUCUCUGCCUCCCCCGUCA
rnacentral:pre_miRNA from 9 species